AUUGAACGCUGGCGGCAGGCCUAACACAUGCAAGUCGAGCGGUAGCACAGAGAGCUUGCUCUCGGGUGACGAGCGGCGGACGGGUGAGUAAUGUCUGGGAAACUGCCUGAUGGAGGGGGAUAACUACUGGAAACGGUAGCUAAUACCGCAUAAUGUCGCGAGACCAAAGAGGGGGGACCUUCGGGCCGUCUUGCCAUCAGAUGUGCCCAGAUGGGAUUAG
rnacentral:rRNA from 1 species